UAGGGAAUCUUCCGCAAUGGGCGAAAGCCUGACGGAGCAACGCCGCGUGAGUGAUGAAGGUCUUCGGAUCGUAAAACUCUGUUCUUAGGGAAGAACAAAUGUGUAAGUAACUAUGCACGUCUUGACGGUACCUAAUCAGAAAGCCACGGCUAACUACGUGCCAGCAGCCGCGGUAAUACGUAGGUGGCAAGCGUUAUCCGGAAGUAUUGGGCGUAAAGCGCGCGUAGGCGGUUUUUUAAGUCUGAUGUGAAAGCCCACGGCUCAACCGUUGAGGGUCAUUGGAAACUGGAAAACUUGAGUGCAGAAGAGGAAAGUGGAAUUCCAUGUGUAGCGGUGAAAUGCGCAGAGAUAUGGAGGAACACCAGUGGCGAAGGCGACUUUCUGGUCUGUAACUGACGCUGAUGUGCGAAAGCGUGGGGAUCAAACAGG
rnacentral:rRNA from 1 species